rnacentral:lncRNA from 1 species
GUUCCCCAAGAGCGCAUCUAUUUCCACCACCGUUUGCGGCGUCAGCUGACUCAGCACCUUGAGAAUGGGCAGUAGAGAGGGCAGGUUUUGCUGGGUCACCGAGUUAAGGGCAUGAUGAAGGCCACAGUGGGACCCACUGAGAAAGUCUCAGCUGUUUGACAGCUUGGCACUGUCUCCCUGGACUUCCCUUUACAAAUGACAACUCUGUAAGAAGGAAAAGGCUACGUCAAGGAGAGGGCCUUACCUGAAGCUAUGGAGAACUGGGAUGGCACGAGUCCUUACCGGCAGGUGUGGAGCAGCAACCCCCCCACUCCUAUCCCAUAGACCACAGAUCCUUCGUAAGGCUUCGCCCCAAGUACUCACUGUCCACCCCAAAAAAUCUUGGUGGUGAUAACAUAGCUUGAUCUCCUGGAAAAAGCAAAACAAUAUUUCCAGCAGGAAAAUGAUAUUUGGCUGAUCAUGUCUCCAGCAGCCACCACCCCCUGAACAGUCUCACCUCCAGCCUUUGCUCUUGAGAAUAUUGCCAAGGGUUCUUUCAGCCCUGAAAUAAAGACAAUGCAAGGACA